rnacentral:SRP_RNA from 1 species
CCGUGCUAGCCGGGGAGGUAGCGGAUCCCUGUACUCGAAGCCCGCUAUAGCGAGGGUGACGCUUGCAUUAGGCUCCUUUUUUGUGGGGACAGACCUUGGAUUGACGCGUUGACGAUUGAGUCUUGCGCAAUAGGCAUCUGUGAACCGUGUCAGAUCCGGAAGGAAGCAGCACUAAGCAGAUCUGUCUAUGUGAUGCGAGGUUGCUUGGUCUGAGUUGAUUUUCAAGAAAUCGCCCGGAAAGAAAUGUCGACUGCAGGCGCACGG